UACGUAGGGGGCAAGCGUUAUCCGGAUUUACUGGGUGUAAAGGGAGCGUAGACGGCAUAGCAAGUCUGAUGUGAAAGAUCGGGGCUCAACCCCGGGCCUGCAUUGGAAACUGUUAAGCUGGAGUACAGGAGAGGUAAGCGGAAUUCCUAGUGUAGCGGUGAAAUGCGUAGAUAUUAGGAGGAACACCAGUGGCGAAGGCGGCUUACUGGACUGUAACUGACGUUGAGGCUCGAAAGCGUGGGGAGCAAACAGG
rnacentral:rRNA from 1 species